rnacentral:rRNA from 1 species
GUGGAUUAGAUACCCUAGUAGUCCACGCCGUAAACGAUGGGCACUAGGUGUGGGGGGUGUCGACUCCCCCCGUGCCGGCGCUAACGCAUUAAGUGCCCCGCCUGGGGAGUACGGCCGCAAGGCUAAAACUCAAAGGAAUUGACGGGGACCCGCACAAGCAGCGGAGCAUGUGGUUUAAUUCGACGCAACGCGAAGAACCUUACCUGGGCUUGACAUGUUCCUGACCGCCCUGGAAACAGGGUUUCCCUUCGGGGCAGGAUCACAGGUGGUGCACGGCCGUCGACAACU